GGAGAAAGCGCGCGGCAGAGAUUCGCAAAGGCAGAGGAGGUAGAAGGACAAGAUACAGCGGACACUGUUUCCUCGCUGUUGCAGACGGGCCCUGCUGGGCUCCCGUGUCGCCGGCCCGGCACCUGGUGAGGCUCCAGCACCCACCUGGUGAGGCUCCAGCACCGGCGAGUCCUCCUCGGCGUCGCUGUCUUCCCGCGGCGCCUGCACACCCUCGCACAUCCCUGACAGCCGUCGACUGCGGAGCCACUGACGCGCCGCGCCUCGGGAGAAAUCAUAGCAGAGCUGCUGGGGCUCCAUCCGGCACGGCGGGUCGGAAGGCAAGGACGAGCCAUGGAUGGAUCACAUCUCGGUCACCCGGGCCGACCCCAACGAGUGUCCGAGCCGUCGCCACUUCGCGCCGUUUGGCUCGGUGACGUCGGAGCGGCGGCGAACUUUCAAACCAACACUUGACCUGAUAUCACUGUUUGAAAAACGAAAAGGUUUUGUGUGCUCAUGUGAGCGCGUUAGAAAGAAGCUUGGCUUCUGGGUUGUAGCCGUGUCCUUGGCUAAUAAUUCACCGACGUUUCGGUCGACAUACCUACAGUAGGUAAC